rfam:Nematostella vectensis strain CH2 x CH6 NEMVEscaffold_350_Cont24646, whole genome shotgun sequence.
UCCAGGAUGGCCGAGUGGUUAAGGCGUUGUACUCGAGUUCCAAUGUACGAACGUACGCGUGGGUUCGAACCCCACCCCUGGUA